rnacentral:lncRNA from 1 species
UACAGUAUUGUUAACUAUAAUCACCAUGCUAUACAUUAGAUCCCCAGAAUUUAUUCAUUUUAUAAUUGGAAAUGUUUACCCUUUGACCAACAUUUCCCGCACACCCCAGCGCCUGGCAACCAUUCUACUCUUUGUUUCUAUGAAUUUGGCCUUUUAAGAUUCUACAUAUAAGUGAUAUCAUACAGUAUUUGUCUUUCUCUUUCUGACUUAUUUAACUUAGCGUAAUGCCCUCAAGGUCCAUCCAUUAUUGUCACAAUGGUAAGAUUUCUUUCUUUCUUAUGGCUGAAUAAUAUAAAGAACUCUAUACAUAUGGUUCUCUCUGAUUGAAAUCCUUCCCCUGACCUGCAUGCAUAUUUCUACUCCUCCUUUAAGAAUCUGCUCAUAUGACUCCUUUCCGAAACCUUUCCUGAUGACCCCCUGCAAAUUUGGGUAUAAUUUCCACUGUGCUAUCAUUGGCCUUGUCUGGGGCUCCAUUACAGCGGAUAACGCUUUAUUUACAUAGCUGUAAACUCUGUGAGGGCAGGAAUAGUCUUUGAAUCCAGGGUCUCUGAAAGAUCCAGAGAGAGAGCUUUAUCUCUUCCAUUUUUUAAGUUCUUCAUGUAUUAAAAAUGAUUGAAAUCCAAAGCAGAAUUCUAAUAAUUUUGGUAUAUUUAAAAUAUUUACCUUAACAAAUUCAUUUUGUAAUAUGAAAAUGACUGUAUUUAGGACAAGCCACACGAUCAUCUCAGUAGAUGCAGAAAAAAAAUUUGACAAGUCCAUCAUAAAAACACUCAACAAACUAGAAGUAGAACUUCCUCAGCCUGGUAAAGGGCAUCUAUAAAAAUCCCCGUAGCUAACAUUAUACUUAAUGGUGAAAAACAACUGAAAGCUUUCCCUCUAAUAUCAAGAAUAAGAGAAAGUUGGUCAUUCUCAACACUUCUGUUCACCAUUGUACUAGAAGUUCUAGCCAGAGCAAAUAGACAAGAAAAAGAAAUAAAAGAUAUUCAGAUUGAAAAGGAAGUAGAACUAUUUGCAGAUAACAUGAUCUUGUAUAUAGAAAAUGCUAAGGUAGUCACAAAAAAAACUAUUAUAACUAAUAAAUGAGUUGAAGAUUGUAGGAUGCAAGAUCAAUGGAUAUAGGGUUUCUUUUAGGAGUGAUAAAAUAUUCUGAAAUUAGACUGUGGUGAUGGUUGCCCAACUCUGUGAAUACACUAAAAACCACUGACUUGAACACUUUAAAAAAGUGAAUUUUAUAGUAUGUGAAUUAUAUGUCAAAAGAGUUGGUUUUUUUUUUUUUUAAUGACUACAUUUAUAACUUCAUGUGUAAAUAAGGAUAAAAGGCUAAUUUGAAGCCCUUUGUGAUUGUCAGUCUUGGGCCAAAGAUUUUCCUGUCCUUUUUUUCCCCAACUUGUGAAAGACUCUAUUUUCUGCUCUGUAUUCCUGGUGUUACCAGCCAGGGUUCUUGGCCUCCUUAAUCAGUAGAAGUUGAUCAGAGUCCAGACAAGAAAUUCAGGCAAGGCUUUAUUGGGGCCCCUGCUGCAGCAGUGGGCAGUGAGAACAAACAACAGGUUCCCUUGCUUGUUGGCUCCCUGAGGGGGGGCAAGCUUGUUUCUUACAUGGGGUGAGGGUAGGGGUGUGUCCAGAGCUCCGGCCAGAGGGGUGGCUUAGGUGUUUUGCCCACCCCUUAGGUGGUGGUGUGGGCAGGGGGCAUCCGCAGGACCCUGCUUUUGCUCCAGGCUCUUCAAAAGUGGCAGUUGGGUUUUUUGGUCUCUUUGUAUCUUUUGGGUCCAGAAUUUACCCUAACUGCAGGCAUGCAAUUAUUUUUAGUCCCAGACAGUGUCUUUGUAUUUUGUUGCUGAAGGAGAGGUGUGUCCAGGUACAAGCACUGCAGCACUGCAGCAAAGGGUCCCAGGUCCCAGCCUGUCUCACUGGUGCCCAGCACAAUGCCAGACAAAUAGUAUAAGUUCAAUAAAUAUUUGUAGAAUAAAUGAAUAAAUUAUGACAGCUGAACUGACUUUAAGCCUAGUUCAGCAAAUCAGCUACAUUUCUGAGGUUUUUUUCUCUAUCACCAAGGAUCCAUGAAUUUAGUGACAGUCACAGAAAUUAUAGACUGGCCCUAUGAUGAGUUUGGUUUUAGCCCUAUAGAGCAACUUUUAAAGAAGACAGAAUGGUCAGUUAUGACUGGUAGACUAGAUAAAGCUCUUUCCAAAAAAAGAUCUAUGAACUGAGCUGAACAUGAACAUAAGUAAGAGUUUUUAAAAUUAAGAUAAAUAUACAAAAACAAUUAAAAAAAAAACAAUAACAAAAUAAAAGAAAUUUAAUUCACCUGUAAUCCUAUCUGCCUAUCCUUUCUGUUUACAUGCAUAUAUAAUUUUGCAGGAAUAUAACUGUUAGCAUUAAAAUUAUUUUGUAUUCUGCUUUCUUUUAAUUAACCUUGUUUCAUAAGCAUUUAUCCAUGUUGCUGCUUAGGCUUUAUGGUUUAUGGCUUAGUGUAUUCUAUUCAGUUGUUGAAAUAUCCUCACUGGUAGUCCUUUAACAUCUUUAAAACUUCAUUGAUAUUACAAUCAUUCUUUUAAAAAUGUACUCACCUAGUAAUGAACCUAACUCUGAAUAAUAACCCCUUACCUUUUCUUUGUCUGUACUUAAACAGCUAGAGAAAAUUGUACAGUCCAGUAGAUUUAGUAUCACUUUCAUCAUCACCAAACUUAUGCUGGCCAGCGGUCUUACUAUAUUUCUGUUACAAGGUUAUUCCUCUACUCUUUAUAACAAAUAUUUUAUACCUUCACUAUCCUCCUCAACCUCUGACCCUCCCAUCUUCCUUCCAUAUACUCUAUGAUGACCUUGACUCAUAUACCUCAAAGAAAAAGGAAGCCAUCAAACAUGAACUUUCUUACUUCCUACCACCAAUCUGCAAAUCUGUCUAUAGCCAUCCUCUCUUCACUAGUUGCAUGGAGGAGUACCUCACCUCUUAACAAAAGCUAAUCUCUCCCUGGUGAACUGGAUUGCAUACCGUCUAUUGUUUAGCUGUUUUGAGAUGUUUUUAUACAGCAGAGAGUAUUAAACCUAAAUGAUAUACUUUGUAAACUACCCCAAACAAACCUAUACUCUGAGUAAAAACACUGAUUGCUAUACAAAUGGAACUUCAAGACAAUUCCCUGAUGCCACCCCACUUCCACGCACCUCUUUUGAUUUGUUUGCUGAUCCUAAGUUCAACCUAUAUAGAAAUCCUUUUUUUUUUUUAAUUUAUUUUUUUUAUUUAUUAUUUUUGGCUCAUUUUGCUGAAGCAUAUUCCGUAUGAAUAUGCUGAAGCAUAUUCAGCAGGAUACAUGGUAGGAACAUUUUUGAAAUGAAUGUCUCAAAGUAUAUAUAUUUGAACUCUCACAGUUGAUAAUUUGGCUGUGCAUGAAACCUUAGGCUAGAAAUCAAUUUCUCUCAGAAAUCUGAAAUCUGCUUACUAAUUAGAUUCCAUCAUUGUUAAGCCGAAUGCCAUUCUGAUUUCUAUUUGUAUGUAAACUUUUUAAAUUAAUUAAUUAAUCAAUUAAUUUAUUUUUGGCUGCGUUGGGUCUUCGUUGCGGUGCGCAGGCUUCUCAUUGCGGUGGCUUCUCUUGUUGUGGAGCACGGGUUCCAGAGCACGCGGGCUUCAGUAGAUGCGGCGCAUGGGCUCAGUAGUUGUGACUCAUGGGCUCUUAGAGCACAGGCUCAGUAGUUGUGGCGCACGGGCUUAGUUCCUCCGCGGCAUGUGGGAUCUUCACGGACCAGGGCUCGAACCUGUGUCCCCUACAUUGGCAGGCGAAUUCUUAACCACUGCGCCACCAGGGAAGCCCUAUAUAGAAAUUCUUGAGCCACUACUGCUUCUCAGGGAUGUUGCUUCAUCAUUUAAUUCCUCCUUUCUAAACCUUCAACAUCAGUGGAGGCAAAGUUAUAAAAAAAUAAAAGAAAGAGUACCAAGUGUAUUUCCCAGACACAAGUCUCCAAAUUGAAAGGGCCCACUGAGUGCCCAGCACAACAAAUAAAAAUAGCCUACCCCAGGGUACCUCAUCAUAAAAAUCUAGAAAAUUAGGGAUAUAGAGAAAUUUUUAAUCUGUCCUUUUUUUUAAAAGUUUACAUACAGGGACUUCCCAACAAGAAAGAAGAAAUCAUGGGAUCUAGAACACAGGGCAACUAACAGAAGAGAGGCAAAGGCAAUUCCUAGCUGAUGAGAGAGACAAGUCCAGCAUGAAGUGGUGUUGUAAGCCAGAGAGGAGAGUCAAUUCAGAAUGUAUCAGAAAAGAAAGUUCCAGAAGGAUUAUGUUCUGGGGGGAAACAAAAAGGAACUGUGUUUGACCAUAUGGAAAGUUAGAUUUAGAUUGAGAGCAAUUUUUACCAUUCCACUAGAGAAUUUGUGAAGAUUUAGGGACAAAUAUAUAG